CAGAAUUUGUAUAUUAAUUUUAAUUUCGCGUUCUCUGCUUCCUCUUCAUGAGUUCGAUCGCCGAUACAAGGAUUGCCAAGCUUGGUUUUUUGGGGAGGAUAAGAUCAAAGCACCAGAAAUGAGCGGCUUUUAGUUGAGAAAGAGAAAACCCAACUACGGCCAAAUCCUUUUCAGCCGAUCACAACUUUCCUUGACUCCAGUGACUGCGCCAUUCUCCUCACCUACCUGAGAACGAC
rnacentral:misc_RNA from 1 species